GAUUUGCUGUAACCGUGUCUCAUGCGUUAAUAACUUCUGUUUUUUUUCAAUAAGCAGGAAAGGAUAUGAGGAAAGACAGAAAGACUCUGCUUCCUCUCCUAUUCUGGCUCUGUCUCAGUCUGACAGAAAAGCAAAUAGUCCUCUGAGGUCCAGGACUGGUAAGUAAUCUAAAGUGGCAAGAGAUGAAGUCAACAGUGAUUUGUGUGGCGUGGGACCACAUUAAGCACCGAGUGUGUAAAGGAUGAUGGGAUCCCAGUUAUAUUGGCCAUGACAACAGCAAAAUUCAGUUACUGAACUGAAAUUUUUGCAAACACGAGAUACCUGUCUGAUUAUGGAACCCAAGGACCAGGAUGCUUGUGUUCCAUAGACUACACGGAGGGGGGACUGGUCGCUGCCUGCUAGUGGUUGAGAGGUGGGAACAAAGAUGACUGCAGUUGCCAAAAUGUCAUACCUGUGACGUUGAUGGCAACUAUGUCUGUGGGCACGGCCUUAGCUGUCUGCCUCAUCUUCUCCUCUGGGGUGGGGAGGGGUGUGCCUU